CCUACGGGAGGCAGCAGUGAGGAAUAUUGGUCAAUGGGCGCGAGCCUGAACCAGCCCAGUAGCUUGAAUGAUGACUGCCCUACGGGUUGUAAACUUCUUUUAUAAAGGAAUAAAGUGAGGCACGUGUGCCUUUUUGUAUGUACUUUAUGAAUAAGGAUCGGCCAACUCCGUUCCAGCAGCCGCGGUAAUACGGAGGAACCGAGAGUUAUCCGGAUUUAUUGGGUUUAAAGGGAGCGUAGAUGGGUUGUUAAGUCAGUUGUGAAAGUUUGCGGCUCAACCGUAAAAUUGCAAUUGAUACUGGCAGCCUUGAGUACAGUUGAGGUAGGCGGAAUGCGUGGUGUAGCGGUGAAAUGCUUAGAUAUCACGAAGAACUCCGAUUGCGAAGGCAGCUUACUAAACUGCCACUGACAUUGAUGCUCGAAAGUGUGGGUAUCAAACAGGAUUAGAUACCUUAGUAGUC
rnacentral:rRNA from 1 species